rnacentral:SRP_RNA from 1 species
AUCAUUUUUUUGUGCAACACAUAUGGUUGAAAUAGGUCAGGAUCGGAAGAUAGCAGCCUUAAGAUCCUCUGUGUGUGUGCACUUUUUUUAUUGUUAAU